UACGGAGGGAGCAAGCGUUACUCGGAAUUAUUGGGCGUAAAGGGCGCGUAGGCGAUUUGAAAAGUCUUGUGUGAAAGCCCCGAGCCUAACUCGGGAAGUGCACAAGAAACUGUUGAAUUUGAGUUCCGGAGAGGAAGGCAGAAUUCCCGGUGUAGCGGUGAAAUGCGUAGAUAUCGGGAGGAAUACCAGUGGCGAAGGCGGCCUUCUGGACGGAUACUGACGCUGAGGCGCGAAAGCCAGGGGAGCAAACGGG
rnacentral:rRNA from 1 species